UUUCAGACAUAAUGAUUAGUGAUGAGAGGUGUUUCAGACAUAAUGAUUAGUGAUGAGGUGUUUCAGACAUAAUGAUUAGUGAUGAGGUGUUUCAGACGUAAUGAUUAGUGAUGAGAGGUGUUUCAGACAUAAUGAUUAGUGAUGAGAGGUGUUUCAGACGUAAUGAUUAGUGAUGAGGUGUUUCAGACAUAAUGAUUAGUGAUGAGAGGUGAUUCAGACAUAAUGAUUAGUGAUGAGGUGUUUCAGACAUAAUGAUUAGUGAUGAGGUGUUUCAGACAUAAUGAUUAGUGAUGAGAGGUGUUUCAGUAAGAAAAUGUAUGCACUCACAUAAGUCGCACUGGAUAAGAGCGCCUGCUAAAUUAUUUGAUUUGAUAAGAGUGUCUGCUACA
ensembl:lncRNA